GCAACUCGCCUGCACGAAAUUGGAAUUGCUAGUAAUCGUGGAUCAGCAUGCCACGGUGAAUACGUUCCCGGGUCUUGUACACACCGCCCGUCACACCAUGGGAGCCGGUAAUACCCGAAGUCAGUAGUCUAACCGCAAGGAGGACGCUGCCGAAGGUAGGACUGGCGACUGGGGUGAAGUCGUAACAAGGUAGC
rnacentral:rRNA from 1 species